rnacentral:rRNA from 1 species
GACGAACGCUGGCGGCGUGCUUAACACAUGCAAGUCGAACGGAAAGGCCCUGCUUUUGUGGGGUGCUCGAGUGGCGAACGGGUGAGUAACACGUGAGUAACCUGCCCUUGACUUUGGGAUAACUUCAGGAAACUGGGGCUAAUACCGGAUAGGAGCUCCUGCUGCAUGGUGGGGGUUGGAAAGUUUCGGCGGUUGGGGAUGGACUCGCGGCUUAUCAGCUUGUUGGUGGGGUAGUGGCUUACCAAGGCUUUGACGGGCAGCCGGCCUGAGAGGGUGACCGGCAACAUGGGGACUGAGAUACGGCCCGAACUCCUACGGGAGGCAGCAGGGGGGAAUAUGGCACAAUGGGCGGAGGCCGGAUGCAGAAACGCGGGGGGGGGGAGGACGGCUUUCGGGUUGUAAACGGUUUUGGCCGGGGAGGAGGGGUGAGUGAGGGUAAUGGGUAAAGAAGCACCGGCUAAUUACGU